rnacentral:lncRNA from 1 species
CGUUGUAGCUGCAGUGCAUGUAACCUGCAUAUAAUGUGUGACAGUGUAGAAACGAGGGGGAAAAUGGGACUGGUGGAUUUGUUAUCAAUUCAAAAGCUGGACAUGGUAAGAGAGUUCAAUUUUCUCUUUAUUAUAUAUUCUCUUUAGACUUUACACAUUUUACUGGUUGGAGAAGGUGUAUGGUUUCAUGUCUUGAAUAAAUGAACCUGCCCCACACCUCUCUUUUUCUUUCUUUAAUUCCCCUCUAUUAUGGUCUGGGGUUUAUGUGGUUUGAGGGUAAAAAGCUUUAUUUUGAGGGGAAGUGCUGCCCAAAUUUUUUAUGAAGCUGGACUUAGUAAUUUUUCUGGAAUUUUGCCCCUGGAAGUUAUUUAUCAUUUUUGCAAUGUACACAAAGACAUCUAUACAUAAGGGGCUUUUUAGUUUUGCAUCCAAAAGGAGAGGAUUAUUUUGUAAAUACUUAUUUGGUAGCAAU